CAUUUAAGCACUUGCCACAAGAAUCUACCCCCUGAGUACCAUUCGGUCCACAGAAGCCUGUCCAUCCAUAUUUGCUGCGCCAUUCCAAGGGCUUACCACCAACCACUGCGGCACAAAAGGAAGGUAUUGUCCAGCCAUUUUCCGUAGUAUUGUAGUCAGUCCAAUAAGCUAUGACAUCAGAAGCACUUUGGGCAGAGGCAAAAGCCACCAGGCAGGCCAAGAACAGAAUUCUUAAGCUGAGUCUCUUCAUUUUUUGUGUGAAAUACUCAAUUGGUUUGCUUGGUAUCGUUUCCAGGAUGUGCUCCAAUUUAUAGGAAAGGUUCCCUGAUACAAUUAUAGACUUCAUUUGUCACCCUACGUGUAAAGAUUAAACCAUGUGAAUUUCAUUCUCUUAAUAAUAGAAUCAUACAUCAUUGUCAUUUUGUCAAUAAGUACUACAGUGACUCAAGGCCCAGUAAGUCUCUAGAUAAACACAAUGCAGAAUCACUAAUUCACAAGGUCUGUUUGCACCAUUAUUUGCCAGUAGUGUUUGUCUUUUUUUCGUCAUUGAUUGGUCAUAUCAAUAAUAGCAAUCUCUUCAUACUUUUUAUAUUUACUGGUGCGGGCUGCUCUUGCCUAAAUUACUGGACUUGCAUAUGAUCCAUGAGAUAAAUAUUAGGCAAUUAGGGCGGCUUUAAGGUCAAGUCACCAAACUAAGGAUUUUAGGUUUCAAAUUUUCAUAGAUGUUGUAAUUUUAUAAUAAUAAUAUAAUUUAUUAUUAUAUUAUAUUAAAAAUAUAUAAAAAUUAAAAUAAUUACUAAAAGGACAUAUUUUCUUCUUUCUCUAAUAUGUACUUAAUAAAUUUCAAUUUUUUUUUAUCAUUUUUCAAUUCCCACAAUACUAUUAAUUAUCAACUAUUUCUCUUAUUCCCAAUCAACUAAGAAUAAUAUGUAUUUAAUAAUUUCCAACCACUAUUUUUUUUCUAUUAUACAUUUUCUUUCCUUAUUUGCUCUUUCUUCCUUAACUUCAAUAAAGAAGACUUCAUUUUCUUAAUUUCAAUAAAAAAGGCCUUUUAAGCCUUUAAGAUUAUUGAACUGCUAUUGCAAGCAACUCCUUGGUUAAGGAAUAUUAAAUAUUUUAAAUUAAUACCAAGUUAAGUUAUUUGUUCUGAAUAAAGGGUUGAAGAGCAAAAGAAGCUGGAUGUGCUUUCAAAUAAUGAAGUCUUUAUCAAGGUUUCAAUUAGUAGUUAGAUGAACUUUUAAGUUAUUUAUAAACAUAUGAGAUGCUACGAUUUUCUUUUAACAAUAUAGAUGUUUUACGAGUGCAUGUUUAUCUUUAAAGAAGAUAUAGAAGCAACAUUUGUGAGGAUUCGGCUCCUGUCUAUUACUUUGUCAUUGUCAUUUGUAUUUGUUUGGUCCUCCUGCCUACGGUUUUUCUAUAUGCAGAGGGGAUGAUGUUGUCAUGGAGUAGCUAGUGCCAACUUUAGAAUUUUAAUUUCUGACAAUUUUCAAGCAGUUAAAGAAGGCUUUUUCAUUCGCUUUCUCCUCUCUUUGCAGGCGUAUAGUACAUCAACCUCAUCUGCAGGCAAUCCUUCUCGAUUGUCUUCAGCUUUCAUUUUUUUUUCUUUUGUGCAGAUCAAGAUCUGUCUCUUGCUGUAGGGAAGCUAAUGGUAUAGCUGACCUUCUGUCAUGGAGAGCUGCUGUUCUUAUGAAAGGAAUUAAUGAAAUCUAUGAAAAAUAUAUAUUUUUUAUUAUAUGAUGGUGAAAUCAUAUGCAUGUAUUAUAAAAUAAGCUAUAUAAUAUUUACACACGUUUUCCUUUUCCAUGCACUUAAUAUGACUCCCACAUCACCAUCGUAGUUGAGGCCACCAGAAAAGAAAAUUGUAGGAUAGCCACAUUUUUUCUUUGGAUGUAAUAAAUCCAACAUGAACCAUAUGAUAGUGAACCAACAUGACUACCUUAAUUUUUAAUUUCUUGUCUUUUUGUCCAUAACUGUGACAUGUGACAAAUCAAAACCUUCAGCAUUACUAUCUAUCUAUCACCUUUCAAAAUAAUAAUUAAAUAAUAUUAUGAAAUUAACCAAACAUCAAAUCAAAAAAUUAAUUCGAAAAAAAUUCAAAUGAAAAGAUUCAAGUAUUUUUUUUUUCAAUUAUUGAUCAUUCAUGUAACCUACCAGCAGAGCAAAAAUAGUAUUUAUUGAUGAAAAUUUAGGGACUGAUAUUGACGGAUUUAUCGCUUACCAAUUAUUUGUUUCACCAAUAAGAGAAUAUUAUUUUCAACAAAGUAUACCAUUGGUAUGUUGCUGACGGAAAAUUUCUUCACCAACAAAAAAAUAUUACAACAACCAUUUCUUGGAUUGAUUUAGUGACGAAGUCUUUUGUCAAUAAUUCUCAAUACUAACAGAUUUUCAAGCUUUAUCAAUUGAAUAUUUUAUCGAUAAAAAUAAUAAUUUUUAUAAGAUUUUUAAUAGAUAAGUAUAACCCAAAAAUUAACUGGAAAAAUUCUGUUACAAGAUCAACCAUUGUCAUAGCAGCACUCCCAUAAGCAUGCAGAAAACAAUUACAUAACCAUAAUUAAGUGUUUGUAUAAACGAUACAAACUAAUUAGUUUGAUGGUUUUUUUUUUUAUAAUUAGAAGAGGAGAGAUUCGAACUCUACUCUUUAGGCAGAGGGAUUAUGUACCAGUUAAUGAGAUAAAUGCUCGGGUGUAAAUUAAUUAGUUUGAUGGUUGAGUCAUGGCAAUGAGAAAAACAAAUAAUAAUAAUUGUUGUGCUGCUCAACCAUUAGAUUCAAAAAAAUAUUUCCAUCUUUGUGCACCACUUUUCAUUUUUGCUGACAACGACAAAGCCAAAAGAAAUUUGAUUCCCCUUAUCCUCUGAAACCAAAGCUGUUUCUCUGGUCCCGACCGUAAGGACCAGACAGCUAGCUAGGAGAAAACAAAAGUUUCAACCCAAGGUAUGUCAAAAACAAGAGGAAGUGGUCACGGUGGAGUAGAUAAAAAAUAACCGCUGUAGCUUUUGUUUAUGUCCUAAGGCAACAGGCUCGCAUCAGCACGUUCUGAAAACAUGCUGAAAUUAUUGUACAGUUAGAGCCACAUCUUGGGCAAUUGUCCUGAUCCAAAGAUCCUGUUUUGGUUUUUCAAGAAGGGUCAUUAAUUCUUUUGGGUGAGGAAGUGUUGGAUUUUUGGAUAAAGUUGGGGGUCUUCCAUUUUCCACGUCCAAUUAGAUCCUCCCCAGGGUUGACAAAGAGUACCCUUUUUUAAGUGGAUAGGCCUUCUUUUUUAUAUAUAAUGCAUAUGUCUGCUUCACCUUUUAAGUGUUGUUUGGAGGCAAGUCGGUGAAUGAGAGUUUUCUAUGGAUUUUGGUUUUUUAUUUUGGAAAGCAUGUCUAUUUGAUUUUUUAAGUGAUUUUUCUAGUUUGUUUAAUUGUCGUAUUCGUUAUCAUAUAUAUUCUCCCAAUUGUGUGGUUAACAUGAAAUAUGAAACCCUCUGAUUAUUUAUUAAUAAAACUCCUUUUGGGUUUGGCAAAAAAGAAAAAAAUCUGCUUCACCUUCUUGGAUAUCUGGGUUUGGAUCUCAAUGCAUGAUCCUCAGAUAUAUGAUCACCAGCUUUUUCAAAUAAUUUUAAAGAAGGAAGACAACCUCAUAAUUAAGUUUUCUCAAUCCACAUCACAGUUCAAACAUGGUCGUCAACAUUUACCCUUCCUUCCAACUUGUAUAUCAUUUUUUUUUUUGAAUAGUGGUUGGCUUAUAUAUAUCUCGGAGCUAAAAUGUCAUGGUGAGUCUUGAACCUUGGAAGUAGAAGACUCAUGUUGCUUUGUAAAAGCGACAAUGUCCGAACCAAAUACAAAAGCGAUCAGUUGCUUAUCAAGCACAAAGCAGCACCUAUCCAAGAAGAAUAGAGCCCCUAUACAGAAAAUACUGGGCCACCAGAAACGAAUCAACAAAAGACUAUACAUCAGCUAGACCAACGUGAAGUGAUCCAAAAACAGCAGAGAGAGCUCGUUUCCAAAAGUUGAGAUCAAGCGGCCAGAAAUCUUGUUUUGAGACGGAACUCAGAGGAGAUCAAAAUCUCUGCGACGAUCUUCUAUUUCUUCUUCCAACUCAACGGAUUUCUCCCUUAUUCGUGGAACCGGCCAUGAUAGUACUUUUUCAACCUGACAAAGCAAAUAUGCACCCAAUUAAGAUAUAUUAUUAAAUUUGUUUGUAUGGAGCCUUAAUUAGUGAUAAGAACAGAUAGUAGUGUACUUUCUUUUAUUGCUAAAAGUUACAGUAGAUAUCUGAAAGUAAUUUCUUCUUGAGACAAAAAAUGUCUAUAGCUUAUACCAAUAUCAAGUAGCUAGACCAAGCAAUCCUGUCAACAAGUGAUAAAUCUUAAUAAAUUGCAAUAAGUUUACGUCAAAAUGUUUAAAGCAACAAAUUUUAUUGUAAAUAAGAGAUAACAUAUUAAUGCAUGUAUGAUAUGUGUGAAUUGUAUACUAUUUGCAAAUUCAUUUUCAUAUAUAUUUUCAAAAUUUUCAGCAAAGAUUCAAAAUAUUCUAUUUAGAUGAAUACAUAUGUCAUAUGUGAGUUUACCUCAGAAAGUACGCAUUUUAUGUGAGUAACGAACAUGUCUAAACACUCUUCACAAUAAUAGAUGUGAUUUUUUGUAAAUUGUUUUUUUUUACAAAUAUCACAAUAAUACUCUCUUAUAUCAUCCUCGACAAAUAAAUUCUUAAAAACAAGUGGAUGAUUGUGAUGUAACCAUUUGUGGUAUUGGAAAACAAUCCAAUAUCCACAUGUGAAGUGCUUGGUAUUAGGAGAUCUAGUAAGAAGGUUUAGCGGAAUGACGAGGAUGUAACACCUCAUUGGGCAAUUCAGUGCAUGUUUUGUGUAGGUAAUAUCAACAUUCUUUACAUAUAUAGGUUGGACAAUGAAUUUCCAGCUUGCAAGCUUGGCAGCCAAAGUUUUCAUCUUCCUUAUGUAAUGGCCGGCCCCCCCNNNNNNNNNNNNNNNNNNNNNNNCCAAAACUUUUAAAAUUUUUUCCAUAACAUAUAAAAAUUUUUAAAUUUUUUCAUAUAUUCUAUUAUUAGCUCCCUCAAAAUAAUGGUUUAUUUAAUAAUUAAUAUAAAUAAAAAAUAAUAAAAUGAUUUUACUUAUCUUACUCAACUUUAAAUUUUUUUAAUUUAUAUUUGUUUAUUUUUAUUUUAUUUAUUCAUAUGUUAUAAGUUUUUAAAAAUAUUCUUUCUCAAAUUUCUACAAAUCAUUAACCAUAUUCUUUUUCUUUCUUUUUUGUUAUGUAAUAUGCGGUAUUUACCUUCUACUUGCCAUGUUAUUCUUUUUUAUGUUACAUAAAUUUUAUUUUCUAUGAUUUUAAUGUUUAAAAAUUAAUAAAUUAUUAUAUAGUUCUCAAAUAUAAGUUGUAAUAGUACAUUGUUACUUAAAAUUUCAUCAAUGUAUCAUUUUUUUAUUAAUCUUGAUUAUAUAAGAGAAAAUUAACUUGAGUAUAUUUUUUUAUAUGCUUUACAUUUUAUGUUUAGUUAAAAUAAAAUUCUCUUGAAUAUAUAGUAUUUAAAUAAUUCUGAUUAUAUAAAAAAAAAUUAUUAAUCGUAUAUAUCGUUUUUAACUAUCUAUAUUUUACAAAUUAUAGUUUUAUAUUUAGUUUCAUAUUUCUAUUAUUAAUAUUUUUAUUGUUGAUUGAAUUUAACAUAUUAGGGUCUUAAAAUUUUUAACUCUUAUUUAACUGUGUUUGGCCCCCCCAAUAAAAUUUGGCUAGCUCCCCCCCUGCUUAUGUACCUCAUGAAAAUUUGACCGAUGAUGAUGGUGGAAAUGCUGAAUUUGCAUCUGAAAGAGAAGAGAAAAAAAAAAAAACAAAAGAGACAAUUGCUCUGUUUUAAAGAUAUUCAGAAAAGUAUUAAGGAAAGAUAAUAUAAUAAUGAAAAAUUAUUAUAUUAACCUAAGACCAUUCUCUCUACAUGCUCUAAUGUCAUUCUAAAAUUUAAGCUAAAUAUCUCACCUAAAAUCAAUUUAAUAAGUGAAGUUCACAGGAAUUCUCCUCCAUGAAAACCAAACAAUCCACAUAAAUUGCAAUAAUAUAUUUGUCAUUUUCUGUUGAGAAAAUCGGACAACAUCUCAAGCUAUGAAUCACCUUCUUACCUCUUUCAGCAUAUAAUAACAUUAUUAAAUUUUCCUUCACAGAAAGCUUAGCAUACAGAAUCCCACUUUUUGAUGUCAUUUUCCAAACACCAAAGAUUACCAUCCUAGUAUCAUGGUAUUACAUAACGGUUCUUAUUACAGAUUUAUUCAUGAAAAAAGUGGGAAGUCUAACUUUGUAACUUAAAAGUUACUGGGAGUAGACGAGCACUGCAUCGUCGUCACAAUCCACAACCUUGUAGUCCAAAAUAAGGUGUCCUCGAUUGAUGCCGUUCCCAUUGGUGUCAAUCGGUUUAAAUGCAGUUUCGAGGUCUAACACCAGGCCGUCAAUGCCGCAUGUGUCAACGAUUCUCACUGUUUCCUCGUCUUUAGUUUCAGUGUUGGUUAUCUGCAAGUACAGUGGCGGAGCCAAGAUUGAUUAAACUAUGCAUGAAAAUAAUAUACAACUCAGAAUUUUAAUAUUUUAUGGCCAUAAUUUGCACGAUCAAAAUGUAGGAAUUUGAGAACUUUUGAGGGAGCCAUGGCCCCUUUGAACCUAACUACCAUCCGAUCCUGCAUGCAGGUGAGAAUAAAUUAUGUUUAUAGCUCAUAAUUUCGAUGUAUUGCACAAGCAUUUCUUAGGCGAAGUCUCUAAUUUUCCUUCAGUACUAUUCAGUAGAUAUAUUCAAUAUAUGGAGAUGAAAAUUAGUGAGAGGUAGAAAAAGUUGCUCACCUUCAAGCACUUGCCACAAGCGUCUACCCCCGUAGGACCAACUGGUCCACAGAAGGCGGUCCAUCCAUAUUUGCUGCGCCAUUCCAAGGGCUUAUCACCAUCCACUGCGGCGCAAAAAGGAGGUAUGACCCAGCCAUUAUUCGUAGCAUUGUAGUCAGCCCAAUAAGCAAUGACAUUGGUAGCAUCUGGGACGUCGUCGUCUGUGUCAUCGUCCACAGCUUCACAGUCCACAAAUUCAUAGUCCACAGUAAGGUGACCGUUUUGAUAGCCUCUUCCAUCAGUGUCAAUGGGUUUAAACGCAGUCUCGAGGUCCAUCACUAGGCCGUCAGCGCCGCAUGUAUCGACGAUUCUCACCGUUUCAUAAGCUCCAGUAGCAGUGUUGGUCACCUUCACGUGCGCACGAGAAUAAAUUAUACGUAUAGCUCAGAAAUUUUAAUGAAGACACGAGCUUUCUUAUAGAAGACAAAAGACAAGUAGGAAAAGAUAAAUAUCUAAAUCAUCAAGGAAACAAAGCUUAAGUCCUUACAUUUAAGCACUUGCCACAAGAAUCUACCCCUUGAGGACCAUUCGGUCCACAGAAGGCGGUCCAUCCAUGUUGGCUGCGCCAUUCCAAGGGCUUAUCACCAUCCACCUCGGCGCAAAAAGGAGGUAUUGUCCAGCCAUUAUCCGUAGCUUUGUAGUCAGCCCAAUAAGCUAUGACAUCAGAAGCACUUUGGGCAGCGGCAAAAGCCACCAGGCAGGCCAAGAACAGAAUGCUUAAGCUUAGUCUCUUCAUUUUUUGUGUGAAAUACUCAAUUG
rnacentral:lncRNA from 1 species